GGCGGGAUAGCUCAGUUGGUAAGAGCGUUGGAUUCAUAACCCAAAGGUCUCGGGUUCAACUCCCGAUCCCGCUACAA
rnacentral:tRNA from 1 species